rnacentral:rRNA from 1 species
AUUGAACGCUGGCGGCAUGCCUUACACAUGCAAGUCGAACGGUAACAGGUCUUCGGAUGCUGACGAGUGGCGAACGGGUGAGUAAUACAUCGGAACGUGCCUAGUAGUGGGGGAUAACUACUCGAAAGAGUGGCUAAUACCGCAUGAGAUCUACGGAUGAAAGCAGGGGAUCGCAAGACCUUGUGCUACUAGAGCGGCCGAUGGCAGAUUAGGUAGUUGGUGGGAUAAAAGCUUACCAAGCCGACGAUCUGUAGCUGGUCUGAGAGGACGAUCAGCCACACUGGGACUGAGACACGGCCCAGACUCCUACGGGGGGCAGCAGUGGGGAAUUUUGGACAAUGGGCGCAAGCCUGAUCCAGCAAUGCCGCGUGCAGGAUGAAGGCCUUCGGGUUGUAAACCGCUUUAGUACGGAACGAAAAGCCCUGGGUUAAUACCCUGGGGUCAUGACGGUACCGUAAGAAUAAGCACCGGCUAACUACGUGCCAGCCGCCGCAGUAA